rnacentral:rRNA from 1 species
CCUACGGGUGGCAGCAGUAGGGAAUUUUUCACAAUGGGCGAAAGCCUGAUGGAGCAACGCCGCGUGCAGGUUGAAGGCCUUCGGGUUGUAAACUGCUUUUAUAAGCGAGAAAUAUGAUGGUAACUUAUGAAUAAGGAUCGGCUAACUACGUGCCAGCAGCCGCGGUCAUACGUAGGAUCCGAGCAUUAUCCGGAGUGACUGGGUGUAAAGAGUUGCGUAGGUGGCAUAAUAAGUAGCUAGUGAAAUCUGGUGGCUCAACCAUUCAGACUAUUAGCUAAACUGUUAAGCUCGAGACCGUUAGGGGUAACUGGAAUUUCUAGUGUAGGAGUGAAAUCCGUAGAUAUUAGAAGGAACACCAAUAGCGUAGGCAGGUUGCUGGGACGGUUCUGACACUAAGGCACGAAAGCGUAGGGAGCAAACGGGAUUAGAUACCCCUGUAGUC